CAAGGUGUAAACAAAUGCACCCAACAUGGCCACCAGCCACUGUUGCAGGUAGAUGGAAAAACAGACCAGAAUCUCAAUAUAUUUAUUCACCAUAAUUCCGCCAAAAACCACUCGUUUUCAUUUUUUAAAUCACACUUCUUUCCACAACAAUGCUUAAACACAUCAGGACACCACUUGAGUUCUAGAAAUGUUUUCUUUUAUGUUGUAGAGUAUAGUUAACCAAUCAUUUAAAUUGCACACCUCAAGAGACUGAUGUAUGUUCAGCAGUGUUUCUGUACUGCAUGUGUGUUAGCAGAGUCUGCAAAACAAAUGACUGAUACAAAUCAUGAGAGAGACUUACCCAGGUAGGGUUUAAGGUUAGAGACUUACCCAGGUAGGGUUUAAGGUUAGAGACUUACCCAGGUAGGGUUUAAGGUUAGAGACUUACCCAGGUAGGGUUUAAGGUUAGAGACUUACCCAGGUAGGGUUUAAGGUUAGAGACUUACCCAGGUAGGGUUUAAGGUUAGAGACUUACCCAGGUAGGGUUUAAGGUUAGAGACUUACCCAGGUAGGGUUUAAGGUUAGAGACUUACCCAGGUAGGGUUUAAGGUUAGAGACUUACCCAGGUAGGGUUUAAGGUUAGAGACUUACCCAGGUAGGGUUUAAGGUUAGAGACUUACCCAGGUAGGGUUUAAGGUUAGAGACUUACCCAGGUAGGGUUUAAGGUUAGAGACUUACCCAGGUAGGGUUUAAGGUUAGA